GGGGCAGUUUUUUUUGUUUUUUUAAUUCCUAGUUAUGAUGUCCUUUGUUUUGGUGAACAUAGUUAUGACGUCCGUUGUUUCAGGGAAUGUGCAGCAAAAGAUACCUUCAUCACUGCCGGCCAGGUUCUGGUGCGGGAGGGAAGAGAAUUGAAUUUGCAGACGGAUUUAAGACAUGGUCUCCACUCUCCAGUGCGAAAAAGACAGGGAAGAAACAACAAAUGGAAUCCAUAAAAUAUAAUACAUUAGCAGGUGAAUGACAAGAGGAAAUUUUAUGAGUGAGUGGGAAGCAAAGAAAAGGAAUGGAUGGAUGAGAGGGCCUUUGGAUUAAAAUAUGCUAAUCUUUGCAGUCAAUUGCUACAGAUAUGGAUUAACUAAUCCAGAUCCAUGAUCCAGACAUAGCACAGGAGAUACCUCUCUCUGUGUUUCCGUGUGCCGCACUACGGUAGUCUCUUUUUCGUACAAAGGGACAGAUAUUGUCUGAAAGGUGUGUUAACCCAUAUAAAUAAAUCUCUCCUUGGGAUUCUCUUUGUCUAAUAGAUAAAACCUCUUCUCCCCAACUGAAAUAAAGAGAUUCAAAGGGUAUAAAGAGUGAUGUGGAAGUCAAUGGCGGUCAUGGCUUUGUUAUUGUGGUUUUCUUUGUUGCUUUGUAGCAUUAGUCGCGGCAUCAGAAGCUCCAGCAUCUCCUUCCCCAAGGAAAACGGGAGGAUUUCGAACUCCAAUAUAGGUAUGGUGGAGGGUUUAGUAGUAGAUCAGAGGAUGAAACUGAAUCAUAACAUUGUGGGUCCAGUGGUAGAGGAGUUUAUCUUUGCCGCAAACUCGGUUCCUUUCAAUAGCUGUCAUGCCUCCACCAUUGUUGAGGUUGCGAAAGAUACUUUUCUGGUUGCCUACUUUGGUGGUUCUCAAGAGGGAGCACCUGAUGUGAAAAUUUGGUUGCAGACUUACAAGGAUGGCUCAUGGCAUCCUCCUAUUGUGGUUGAUGAACAACCUGAUGUGCCAAUGUGGAAUCCUGUCUUAUUUAAGCUUCCAUCAAAUGAAUUGCUACUGUUCUAUAAGAUUGGUCAGGAGGUCCAGAAAUGGAGUGGAUGCAAGAAGCGGUCAUUAGAUGGAGGUAUCACUUGGAUGGAAAGGGAACAACUUCCACCUGGAAUAAUAGGACCAAGCAAGAAUAAGCCUAUCUUACUGGAGGAUGGGCGCUUGCUCUGUGGAUCUUCUGUGGAAAGUUGGAACUCUUGGGGUACAUGGAUUGAGGUCACAGCAGAUGCAGGACAAUCAUGGAUGAAGUUUGGACCAAUAUAUAUAGAGAAUGAAUCUCUCAGCGUGAUCCAACCAGUUCCUUUCAUGACUGCAAAUGGGACGUUACGUGUUCUACUGCGAUCAUUUGAAGGACUAGGUAGAGUUUUUAUGUCAGAAUCCUAUGAUGAGGGUAUGACCUGGAGUUAUGCAAAGCCUACAGAACUCCCGAACCCAAAUUCAGGAAUUGAUGGGGUUAAAUUGAGUGAUGGCCGUCUAUUACUUGCAUACAACACAAUCUCCAGAGGCGUUCUCAAAGUAGCCAUCUCGUUAAAUGAUGGUGACUCCUGGAAUGAGGUGGUAACAUUAGAGGAUAAUUUGGAAAUGGAAUUCUCUUAUCCUGCUGUAAUCCAAGCCAGUGAUGGAUUUGUACAUAUCACUUACACAUAUAACAGGACACAGAUUAAGCAUGUCGUACUCAACCCCAACUAAUUUGUGAAAUCCUAGUCGCCGGAGCUUCAAGAGCUAUAAUUUUAGGAUGUGGAAGGGAUAGGCAUGCCACCUGCUCCAUGUAAGCUAACAAGCGACAAACACAUGAGCUGAAGCUAGAAAGGAAUCAGAACCCAGUUCUCAAACGAUUGCUUGCAAACUUAAACAGUGAAGGCCUGAGGCACACUAGCAUGUACUGGGAGUCAAUUCCAUUGAUACACAUGAAUUGUAAAUUGAAGUUAUUGUUCCAAUAACAUUGGUCCAGGAACUGAUGGGCCAUUGCCACCCCUCUCAGCUGUCUGAACCUGUUUGUUUAAUAAAGAAUAUUUUUCCUUGGAAGGGAAGACAGACCUGGUUUUCCUACAAGGGCAUUAAGGAAAGGAGAUGUCUCUUUGAUGGGCAUUUAGAUCUGCCAUUUGACGGGUUAGUUGGGGCUGAAAUUCUGAGAAUGGUUAGACCCAAGGUCUCUUUUUUACAUGUUAAAUAUCAGACCACUUCAAGUUUGCCAAGUGGCAAAACAAGGAAUUGAGAAAUCUGGGAUUACCAAGAGGGUGCACAAGAAUACAAUGGGGGUGCAUGGAGGCUGAAAUUUGGCACGCAGUCUGUUCUGACAGUUCCCUAGAUAUCAAACAGUAGAUUUGCUUGAACCCUAUUCCUUCUUGGGAAAAGGCAGCGGACUUGAUUGUAGGUAUAUGUGAUGAAAGCUUUGUUAAAGAAACAGAUGAAGCAGGAUGGGCCUCAGUUAUUACCCGAGGGAGAACUUUUGUCACUUUCUUUGAACUAUGGUUGUACAGGGAGUGCUUAAAUAUCUAAAGCUAGCGAAUGCUCCAGGAACUUCAAAAGGCAAGAGAAUUGGGAGCCACAACUAUUUUCCUUCGGACUGAUUGCCAGGCUUUAACUGAAUAGAUGGCAAAUGUAUGGGAACCUGGCCAUGGGAGCGUUUUACUGUUCUCUUGGACAUUAAGUUUGUACUAAAAACUAUUUCUUGAAGUGUCUGGUCAAAGAGAGUAGGGAUUAGAUAGGUAUAGCUCAUGAUAUUGCUAAGUGUGCAAGAGUAGAAAAGCUUUGUACUUAUAUUUCGGACAAUCUUGUAUCCUUUUUCUAUUCUUAAUAGAAUAUUUCUUAUAAAAAAAAGAAAAGAUUUGCCACAUCAUUUUUCAUGUGAUAAAA